UAGGGAAUCUUCCGCAAUGGACGCAAGUCUGACGGAGCAACGCCGCGUGAGUGAAGAAGGUUUUCGGAUCGUAAAGCUCUGUUGUUAAGGAAGAACGAGUGUGAGAAUGGAAAGUUCAUACUGUGACGGUACUUAACCAGAAAGGGACGGCUAACUACGUGCCAGCAGCCGCGGUAAUACGUAGGUCCCGAGCGUUGUCCGGAUUUAUUGGGCGUAAAGCGAGCGCAGGCGGUUAGAUAAGUCUGAAGUGAAAGGCAGUGGCUCAACCAUUGUAGGCUUUGGAAACUGUUUAACUUGAGUGCAGAAGGGGAGAGUGGAAUUCCAUGUGUAGCGGUGAAAUGCGUAGAUAUAUGGAGGAACACCGGUGGCGAAAGCGGCUCUCUGGUCUGUAACUGACGCUGAGGCUCGAAAGCGUGGGGAGCGAACAGG
rnacentral:rRNA from 1 species